rnacentral:rRNA from 1 species
GACGAACGCUGGCGGCGUGCCUAAUACAUGCAAGUCGAACGCUGAAGAGAGGAGCUUGCUCUUCUUGGAUGAGUUGCGAACGGGUGAGUAACGCGUAGGUAACCUGCCUUGUAGCGGGGGAUAACUAUUGGAAACGAUAGCUAAUACCGCAUAACAAUGGAUGACACAUGUCAUUUAUUUGAAAGGGGCAAUUGCUCCACUACAAGAUGGACCUGCGUUGUAUUAGCUAGUAGGUGAGGUAAUGGCUCACCUAGGCGACGAUACAUAGCCGACCUGAGAGGGUGAGCGGCCACACUGGGACUGAGACACGGCCCAGACUCCUACGGGAGGCAGCAGGAGGGGAGCUUCGGCAAUGGGGGCAAGCCUGACCGAGCAACGCCGCGUGAGUGAAGAAGGGUGUCGGAUCGUAAAGCUCGGUUGUAAGUCAAGAACGGGUGUGAGAGUGGAAAGUUCACACUGUGACGGUAGCUGACCAGAAAGGGACGGCUAACUACGUG